AUUAAUAAGCGGAGGAAAAGAAACUAACAAGGAUUCCCUUAGUAACGGCGAGUGAAGCGGGAUAAGCCCAGCACCGAAUCCUCCGCUCAGACGGGCGGCGGGAACUGUGGUGUUAAGGACAGCCUAUGGGGAUCGUUCGGGAGUCCGAGUCCUCCUGAUCGGGGCUUCACCCAGAGCGGGUGUCAGGCCUCUACGGCGCCCGGCCGGUCCUCUCAGGUCGUCCUAGGAGUCGGGUUGUUUGAGAUUGCAGCCCAAAGCGGGUGGUAAACUCCAUCUAAGGCUAAAUACAGACACGAGUCCGAUAGCGCACAAGUACCGUGAGGGAAAGUU
rnacentral:rRNA from 1 species